UACGUAGGGGGCAAGCGUUGUCCGGAAUCAUUGGGCGUAAAGAGCGUGUAGGCGGCUUGGUAAGUCCGCUGUGAAAGUCCAGGGCUCAACCCUGGAAAGCCGGUGGAAACUGUCAAGCUUGAGUCCGGAAGAGGCGAGUGGAAUUCCUGGUGUAGCGGUGAAAUGCGCAGAUAUCAGGAGGAACACCUGUGGCGAAAGCGGCUCACUGGACCAUAACUGACGCUGAUGCACGAAAGCUGGGGGAGCAAACAGG
rnacentral:rRNA from 1 species